rnacentral:pre_miRNA from 1 species
CAGCGGUGAACAUUCAACGCUGUCGGUGAGUUUGACCCGAGCCAAACCAUCGACCGUUGACUGUACCCCGAGG